ensembl:snRNA U6 U6 spliceosomal RNA
AUGCUCACUUUGGCAGCAUGCAUUCUAAAAUUGGAAUGACACAGAAAAAAUAUGAGCAUGGUCCCUGAGCAAGAAUGACAUGCAAAUUCAUGAAGUGUUCUAUGCUUUU